rnacentral:rRNA from 1 species
AGCUUAGUGGCGAACGGGUGAGUAACACGUGAGCAACCUGCCUUUCAGUGGGGGACAACAUUUGGAAACGAAUGCUAAUACCGCAUAAGACCACAGUGUCGCAUGGCACAGGGGUCAAAGGAUUUAUCCGCUGAAAGAUGGGCUCGCGUCCGAUUAGCUAGAUGGUGAGGUAACGGCCCACCAUGGCAACGAUCGGUAGCCGGACUGAGAGGUUGAACGGCCACAUUGGGACUGAGACACGGCCCAGACUCCUACGGGAGGCAGCAGUGGGGAAUAUUGCACAAUGGGGGAAACCCUGAUGCAGCGACGCCGCGUGGAGGAAGAAGGUCUUCGGAUUGUAAACUCCUGUCCCAGGGGACGAUAAUGACGGUACCCUGGGAGGAAGCACCGGCUAACUACGUGCCAGCAGCCGCGGUAAAACGUAGGGUGCAAGCGUUGUCCGGAAUUACUGGGUGUAAAGGGAGCGCAGGCGGAUUGGCAAGUUGGGAGUGAAAUCUAUGGGCUCAACCCAUAAAUUGCUUUCAAAACUGUCAGUCUUGAGUGGUGUAGAGGUAGGCGGAAUUCCCGGUGUAGCGGUGGAAUGCGUAGAUAUCGGGAGGAACACCAGUG